rnacentral:rRNA from 1 species
UUUAACUGAAGAGUUUGAUCAUGGCUCAGAUUGAACGCUGGCGGCAGGCUUAACACAUGCAAGUCGAGCGGGGGAAGGUAGCUUGCUACUGGACCUAGCGGCGGACGGGUGAGUAAUGCUUAGGAAUCUGCCUAUUAGUGGG